rnacentral:rRNA from 1 species
GCCAGACUCCUACGGGAGGCAGCAGUGGGGAAUAUUGCACAAUGGGGGGAACCCUGAUGCAGCGACGCCGCGUGGGUGAAGGAGUACUUCGGUACGUAAAGCCCUAUCAGCAGGAAAGAAAAUGACGGUACCUGACUAAGAAGCCCCGGCUAACUACGUGCCAGCAGCCGCGGUAAUACGUAGGGGGCAAGCGUUAUCCGGAUUUACUGGGUGUAAAGGGAGCGUAGACGGCAGUGCAAGUCCGGAGUGAAAGCCCGGGGCUCAACCCUGGGACUGCUCUGGAAACUGUAAAGCUGGAGUGCGGGAGGGGCAGGCGGAAUUCCUGGUGUAGCGGUGAAAUGCGUAGAUAUCACGAAGAACCCCGAUUGCGAAGGCAGCUUACUAAACUGUGACUGACAUUGAUGCUCGAAAGUGUGGGUAUCAAACAGGAUUAGAUACCCCCGUAGA